rnacentral:tRNA from 1 species
GGGCCCGUAGCUCAGCGGUAGAGCGCCCGGCUGUUAACCGGAAGGUCGUGGGUUCGAUUCCCACCGGGCCCG